GCAUGCCAGCGAAACCAUGUGAUGCGACACAAGCCGCAAAUUGCAAGAAGGAUGGGAAAGACUGCGUCCUCAUCGGCGACACAUCGCAAUGCGUUCCUCCAGGCAUGCCAGCGAAACCAUGUCAUGCGACACAAGCCGCAAAUUGCAAGAAAGAUGGGAAAGACUGCGUCCUCAUCGGCGACACAGCGCAAUGCGUUCCUCCAGGCAUGCCAGCGAAACCAUGUCAUGCGACACAAGCCGCAAAUUGCAAGAAAGAUGGGAAAGACUGCGUCCUCAUCGGCGACACAGCGCAAU